rnacentral:rRNA from 1 species
ACGGAGGGGGCGAGCGUUAUUCGGAAUUAUUGGGCGUAAAGGGCACGUAGGCGGCUUGGUAAGUCAGAUGUGAAAUCCCGGGGCUCAAAGUUGGAACUGCAUUUGAUACUGCCAGUCUUGAGUGCGGUAGAGGGGGGUGGAAUUCUCGGUGUAGAGGUGAAAUUCGUAGAUAUCGGGAGGAACACCAGAGGCGAAGGCGACCCCCUGGGCCUUUACUGACGCUGAGGUGCGAAAGCGUGGGGAGCAAACAG